UGAGGAAUAUUGGUCAAUGGGCGGGAGCCUGAACCAGCCAAGCCGCGUGAGGGAUGAAGGCCCUAUGGGUCGUAAACCUCUUUUGUCAGGGAACAAAAGCGAGUAUGUAUACUAGUCUGAGUGUACCUGAAGAAAAACGCAUCGGCUAACUCCGUGCCAGCAGCCGCGGUAAUACGGAGGAUGCGAGCGUUAUCCGGAUUUAUUGGGUUUAAAGGGUGCGUAGGCGGCGAUGCAAGUCAGCGGUAAAAGCCCGGGGCUCAACCCCGGCGAGCCGUUGAAACUGCAGUGCUAGAGAAGGCGAGAGGUUACGCGGAAUGCGCAGUGUAGCGGUGAAAUGCUUAGAUAUUGCGCAGAACUCCGAUUGCGAAGGCAGUGUACUGGCGCCUGACUGACGCUGAGGCACGAAAGCGUGGGGAUCGAACAGGAUUAGAUACC
rnacentral:rRNA from 1 species